AGGGCUCAGCCACCCCACGCACCUCUUUUCCUGAGAAGGACUUCUUGAUGAGUUGGGCGGCCCGUUCCUUGGGGAGGAAGGAGGCCUGGGCAUCCAGCUUGCUGAUCCCCCGAGGCUCAAAGAUGUCCACGUCGAUCUGUGGCAUUGAAGCAGUUCCUGUAUCAAGGCUCCCACUGGGGAGCCUUCAUCAAGCCCCAGCCAAGAGCCAGCGUAUAUCCUGACCACCUACUGGUGCAGCACCCGCCCAGCUCUCAGCACAGGGCCUGGCAUGUUGUAGGCACUCCAAAAAUAUUGGCCAAAUGAAAGUGUGCAUGCCUGAGCCCCUCAACUCGGCCACCACUAAGGUGCCAGUGACAAUUACAGCCCCUCAGGCUGCCCAGGACUAACUGGUUUACAAACUCCCUGGACAUUCAAUAUCUCUCAUGAUCCUUGCGGCAGUUCUGGGACACACAAAACCCCCAUUUGACAGAUGAGCAAGCCAAGGCUCAGAAGAAGGAGGAGGUUGGAGGGUUCAGGGAGCUCCCUGCCCACGAACAGCCAUCAGAGCCCACCCUGAGGAGUGAGUCCCCUCCCUGUGUGCUCAGGCCCAGGGCUGCACGUGGUGGGUGCCGAACCAGCGCUCAGAGCCACAGAGAGGGAGAGGCAGGAGCCCAGCUCCUGAGACCUUGCCCCUGCACGUGGUCACCAGCGAUCUACCUCAAAAUGCUGCACCAGCUGCUUGGGCUUGACCUUGAUGACAAUGUCAUACUGCAUAAGCUUUCGCCUCAGCACCUCCUCGUAGGUCAGCCGGAACGUGGCCUUGCUCCGGGGACCAAUGGUGACCUGGAUGGCAAACUGCUCCAUCGUUCUCCCUGAGGCCCUGGAUGUGCCACCAGUGGCAACAACAAACAGACAAAUGAUUUGGUGGCAGUGGUGGGAUCCAGAGGAAACUUCUGAGGGCUUUGAGGACAAGAAACACAAGCACUGGUACCCUCAAAUCCUUUGAGUUCUCUUUCUCGCCACUUCCAAAGGCCAUGGUAUGUCAUCAAAAAGCUGAACCUCCGAAAUGCCUCCAGCCGAGAGCGGCAAGCUGCUGAACAGGAAGCUCAGCUCUUGUCUCAGUUGAAGCAUCCCAAUAUUGUCACCUACAAGGAGUCGUGGGAGGGAGGGGAUGGUCUGCUGUACAUCGUCAUGGGCUUCUGCGAAGGAGUAUUUACAUGAAAAACACAUCCUUCACCGAGAUCUAAAAACUCAAAAUGUCUUCCUAACAAGAAAAAACAUCAUCAAAGUGGGUGACCUAGGAAUUGCCCGAGUGCUUGAGAACCACUGUGACAUGGCUAGCACCCUCAUUGGCACACCCUAUUACAUGAGCCCUGAAUUGUUCUCAAACAAACCCUACAACUAUAAGUCUGAUGUUUGGGCUCUGGGAUGCUGUGUUUAUGAAAUGGCCACCCUGAAGCAUGCUUUCAAUGCAAAAGACAUGAAUUCUUUAGUUUAUCGGAUUAUUGAAGGAAAGCUGCCACCAAUGCCGAAAGAUUACAGCCCAGAGCUGGCAGAAAUAAUAAGAACCAUGCUGAGCAAAAGGCCUGAAGAAAGACCUUCUGUGAGGAGCAUCCUAAGGCAGCCUUACAUAAAGCGCCAAAUAUCCUUGUUUUUGGAGACCACGAAGGCAAAAAACUCCAAAAAUAAUAUUAAAAAUGACGACUCUAAAUCCAAGCCUGUGGCUACAGUGGUUUCUGGAAAGGCUGAAUUAAGUCAUGAAGCCGUUCCCCCUCAACGACACUCUUCUGAGGGCUCCAAGACAUAUGUAAUGGGUGAAGACAAAUAUUUGUCCCAGGAGAAACCCAUAGUCAUUGGCCCCUUGAAGACACCCCCACGUCUGAAAGGCCACACCUACAAACCAGACAUAAGCAAUACUGCAGAAUCGCUAGCCACGAUCAGUAGGGUGAAUAUUGACAUCUUACCUGCAGAAAGGAGGAACUCAGUGAACAACAGCUUAGUUCAAGAGAAUCAACGAAGACACUUAGAUGCCUCUAAUGAGCUAGAAGGUAAAUGUAUUAUUUCUCAAGUGAAAGAGAGGCUGCAGGAUAACACUAAAUCCAGUGCUCAACCUGGAAACCGAAUUUCCACAUGGUCCAUUGACUAUGUCACUGGAGAAAGGAAUGACCCAGUGAAGCCUCUGCAGCCCCUAAACAAAGACCAAAAUUUAUCAAAGGACCAGGAUCAAGUUGCUGGUGAAUGUGUUAUAGAAAAACAGGACAGAAUCCACCCAGCUUUACAGCCACACAGCUCUGGGUCUGAACCUUUCCUGUCUCAACAGCGGCGGCAGAAGAAAAGAGAACAUACUGAGCAUAGUGAGGAAGAGAGACAGUUCCAAGAGACUCCUCCUCGUCUUUUGCCUUCUCUUUCUACUGUUGGAAAAGUGGAUGUCACAUCAACACAAAAAGAUGCUGAAAACCAAAGUAGAGUGAUCACUGGGUCUGUGAGCAGUUCGAGGAACAGUGAGAUAUCAUCAUCAAAGGACCGCCCAUUAUCAGCAAGAGAGAGGAGGCGACUAAAGCAGUCACAGGAAGAGAUCUUCCCCUCAGGCCCUUCAGUGAGGAGAGUUUCUCUGAGUCCAGCAGGGUCAGAGAAACCACAAGAGGAAGGCCACCCUACCCCUGCUCAAUGGUUGUCUUCUGACUACAGCGUUGCUCAGGAAAGGAAACUCACCCAUUGUCUCUCUGAGGAUGAGUUAAGUUCUUCUACAAGUUCAACUGAUAAAUCAAAUGGGGAUUCCAAGGAAGGGAAAGGUCAUACAAAUGAAAUGAGUGACUUGGUACAAUUGAUGACACAGACCCUGAAUUUGGACUCUAAAGAGAGCUAUGAAGAUCUCCCGGUACCAGAGCCAGUGUCAGAAUUUAAACUUCUUCGGAAGUAUCGGGACACACUGAUACUUCAUGGGAAAGUUGCAGAGGAGGCGGAGGAACUCCGUUUUAAAGAGCUACCUUCAGGUGCUAUCGUGCCAGGUUCUGAAAAAAUCAGAAGAAUAGUUGAAGUCUUGAGAGCUGAUGUAAUUCGGGGCCUGGGGAUUCAGCUUUUAGAGCAGGUGUAUGAUAUUUUGGAAGAGGAGGAUGAAUUGGAAAGAGAGUAUGCGGGCCUCUCACUGUUGUGGCCUCUCCCGUUGUGGAGCACAGGCUCCAGACGCGCAGGCCCAGCAGCCGUGGCUCACGGGCCCAGCCACUCCGCGUCAUGUGGGAUCCUCCCGGACCAGGGCACGAACCCGUGUCCCCUGCAUUGGCAGGCGGACUCACAAUCACUGCGCCGCCAGGGAAGCCCUCAUUCUUUUUUCUUUAUUCAGUUCCGCAGCAGUGAAUUCCAUCAUUCUGUCUUCCAGGUCACUUAUGUGUUCUGCCUCAGUUAUUCUGCUAUUGAUUCCUUCUAGUGUAUUUUUCAUUUCAGAUAUUAUGUUGUUAAUCUCUGUUUGUUUGUUCUUUAAUUCUUCUUGCUCAUUGUUAAACAUUUCUUGCAUCUUCUUGAUCUUUGCCUCCAUUCUUUUUCCGAGGUCCUGGAUCAUCUUCACUGUCAUUAUUCUGAAUUCUUUUUCUGGAAGGUUGCCUAUCUCCACUUCAUUUAGUUGUUUUUCUGGGGUUUUAUCUUGUUCCUUCAUGUGGUACAUAGCCCUCUGCCUUUUCAUCUUGUCUAUCUUUCUGUGAAUGUGGUUUUUGUUCCACAGGCUGCAGCAUUGUAGUUCUUCUUGCUUCGGCUGUCUGCCCUCUGGUGGAUGAGGCUAUCUAAGAGGCUUGUGCAAGUUUCCUGAUGGGAGGGACUGGUGCUGGGUAGAGCUGGCUGUUGCUUUUGUGGGAAGAGGUACGUUUGCGGGAGCACAUGGGUGAAAAGUAUGUGACUUACAAUGUGAAAGCUCACCAGUUAAAAUUUUUUGAAGAUAAUGUAAAAUUUUGAGAAUUUACCUAAUCUGCUGCCAGAAUGAAACUAUUUUCAAAUGUUUUUGGCUUAAACAAAAACAAACAAACCUAUAAUAAUGACUGGAGUCCAUUCACCAUCCUUAUAUUUUGUUGGGCCUUUUUUUACUAGAAAAAAAUUGGACAGAGUAAUAUGAAGCAAGCUUAUUACAAAAGAAAAAAACCUUUGGCUAUCUUAUUCUCUUUAUGAGGGAAAAUCUGUUGUACGACGUUUAUUUGGUUACUGUUUACUGAGCCUUAAACCAACUUGAUAUCUAGAACUAUUUUUUUUAAGGUACUUAUUAGCUUGAAUACAGGGAUAUAACAUACUGGAUUGGAAGUUUUAUAUUAUACUAGAGUGACGAAAGCAAUAGGAGAAAUAAAUGACAUAUAUCCAGUGACACUACUUUUUACUGUUAAUAACCUUAAGUAGAAGUUGAUAAAUUAUUUUUUUUAUUAUUCUGGGAGUAGAUUUAAAGAUAUGGCAUUAUAUAUAGUACUUGAGCAUUGAAUUCCUUUUUUUGCAUAUUGAUGGAUGUUUUAACAUUUUAUUUCCAUUUAAUAUGGACCUCAUUCAGGGUAUACAAGAAAUGAAACUAGGAGUUAUUUUGGGCUAGUAAAUCAAUAUGUUUUUACAUACUGGAUUUUUUUUUUUUCUUUUUAAGAUUUAUUUUUCCAUCAGCGAAAACAUUCCUUAAACGCUAAUUCCUUUUCUAAUUCAGCAGGUGUUAAGUAAAGUCCAGAUCCUUUUAGUUAUGUUGGACAUAUUUGUCUCCUGAAAUUUGUCUUCUUAUACAUCAAGAUAUUGUCUUCCCAUGUUUUAAAUGUAGAAUUGUAUAUCACAUAUUUUAUUAGUUGUUUAAUAAGGGGCAAUACCCAUCUAGCAAAUAGUUUUUAAAAAAUAAAAGUUUUGAUUAGUAAAUUUUAACUUCUGCAUUUGAGGGACUCUAAACAUGAAUAUGACUCCAGAAAUAUUUUCAUUUUUUACAGUUAAAAAUAUGUCUUACCUUUUAUGAAAAUUAUACACACACAUAAAAUAAUAAAAUGUUCUCUUUCUAGUCCACAUAAAAGACUUUUAUUUAGUUUUUACUAUGUGCCAGGUGCUAGGCCUGGGUUCAUGGCCUAAUUUCUGAAAUUUCUUUAUUUUGAAGGGUUUUUAACAACUUAACUCUAAAAACAUCUAGUCCUAGUGCUCAGCUGAGGACAAAUUUUUGGCAAACCAUCGGUCUUCCUGAGCUAUUUACCAUUUCUUGCAUGUUUUAUAAAUCCACAUCUUUCUGCAAAGUCAUCAGUUCUACUAAAGUUUUCUAACUUACUGGUAUAAAGUUAUACAUAUUAUUUUCUUAGAAUAAAAAAAAAUCUCCUCCAUACCUUUUUUAUUAACAUUCUGUAUAUAUAUAUAUAUAUAUAUAUAUUUUUUUUUUUUUUUUUUGCGGUACGCGGGCUUCUCACUGUUGUGGCCUCUCCCGUUGUGGAGCACAGGCUCUGGACGUGCAGGCUCAGCGGCCGUGUCUCACGGGCCCAGCCGCUCCGCGGCAUGUGGGAUCUUCCCAGACCGGGGCACGAACCCGUGUCCCCUGCAUCGGCAGGCAGACUCUCAACAACUGCGCCACCAGGGAAGCCCAUUGGGGUGUCAUUUUGAGAACAUGAGAUGACAUGAUUUUUAACCCUAUUGGGAGCUCUUAACUUUAUAAUCACAUUUAUUAUACUUAUUGAUAUGCUUGUUCUUGUUUCUGCCAUCUUUUAUUUUUCUUCCCCUUUUUUAGAAUCCUUUCCUGACUUUUGCUGUAUUAAGGUCUUUGCUCCCUUUUUUUUAAACUCAUAGUUUGGAAGUCCUAUAUCCUGGUAUUGAGAAACAGAAUAUUACCUGUAAUAACCCUUCCACUCCCAUCCCUCCCACAAGGCCUUUAGAACAUUUUUCUCUUCGGCCCUCUGGAAAAUUUUAAAGGAAUUUACAGUUUUAUGGUUUCCACUUUGAACCACCUUAGGUAAAGCCUGGAUUAAAUGUUUUCUGCUUGGCAAUAGCCUUAUUUUAGUGGUACCAAGAUACUACUUUACCACAAAUUUACAUUUGUGGUAAAUUUCACAGCUGUAAGAUAUCACAUAUGAAUCAUGCAUUGAAUAAGAUGUUAAAUGUAUAAAGCAAAAGUUUUUUUAUAGGUGCUUUUGCUGUUGUUAAAGAAAAAAAAAAGUAUGUUAGGAACUUGUAGCUUCAGAAAAGAGAAAUGGUUCUUACACUUUCAGAACCACAAACUUCUAACUUUGGCUUUUACUAGUAGUCAUGCUGCAGAACAAUAAACAAAAGACUCUUUAGACAUUGAGUUGCACUGUGAGUUUUAUUUGAAAACAUUAAAACAGCCUGAUGACUCAUAAUGAAUUAUAAAACUUUGAUAGUUAAACUGUACUAUCAUUUAUGAGGCUUUUAUUCUUCAUUAUUUUGUAGACCUGAAAGAAACUUUGCAUACUUGUGUUUUCUGUUCUCCAUUUCAGAGGAAGAUUGUGAAGAGAAGGUCUAAAAUAUUUAUAAAUCAAAACCCAACAUAAAAGUGAAAUAUAGAGAGAACAAAAUCUGUACACAGCUGAGCAUAGGUAUUUUUAGCUCAUGUUUUGGAUAUGAAAACAAUUUAGCUCAUGUCACACGAAACAAAAGCAGGUGCAGUAGUAAAGCUCAAUCAUGAAAACCCCAAUCAAUUAUUUUUAGCAUGCCUCUUAAUUUUUCUUUCCCCUGGUUUCUUGUCUUCUGUGCCUGAGUCUUGAACAGGUAACCACUUGAGGGGGUGCCGGCGAUAAAUGGGCCACGGAGGAAGUGUCAG